rnacentral:lncRNA from 1 species
CAAAAAUAUAAAAAAAAUAAAAAAAAUUGAACCAACCAAUUGAUCAGAAAAAUUACACUGGUUAUAUAGCAGUUUGACAAACACUAAUUUUGAUCAUUGAGAAGCUUAAUAUUCCCUUAACAUCACAACGUAAUUAAAACGUUUAGCUGAUUUUACAGAGUUAUCUCCCUGUAGUGUUAGGUACCACCUUAAGUGGUUCAGACGUGCCUA